CUCGAAUUCAUAAGCAAGCGUUGGUGUGCUCUGUUCUAAGACAGGAAACAAAUCAGCAUAAUGAUUCUGCUCUUUUUAUCUCAAAUCAUGCUGGAUGGUCUCGCGGCAAGUCAUCGAGUUGAACAAUCUCCUCCUUACCUGUUCAAAAAUCACGCCGAAUCUGCUCAAUUCUAUUGCUCCUAUGCAGUCAAGAACUUUGAGCAAAUACUCUGGUACAAACAGUUUAAGGAAAUGAAUUUAAUGUUCCUUGGACAUCAAAAUAUCAAAUAUACCUAUUCGGAACAGGCUGCCAAAAUAAACCUCGAUGAAGACACGAACAGUAAUGCCACACUUACUAUUAACUAUCUGACAGCAAAAGACAACGGCGUUUAUUUCUGUGCAGUUCAGAUUCACAGUGUGUCAAUGUUCCCUUCUCCCUGUACAAAAACACAUAUCUCAGGAUAUAUCUAAUACAUAUGAUCUACACUGAUGGAGAUCAUUGUUCAUGCAAC